GUUGUGGCUCAGUGGUAGAGCACUUGCCUAGCAUUUGCGAGGCACUGGGUUCAAUUCUCAGCAACA
rnacentral:tRNA from 1 species